UACGGAGGGUGCAAGCGUUGCUCGGAAUUAUUGGGCGUAAAGGGCAGGUAGGUGGUCUCGUUUGUCUGGGGUGAAAGCCUUGAGCUUAACUCAAGAAGUGCCCCAGAAACGGCGAGACUAGAGUUCUGGAGAGGGUCGUGGAAUUCCCGGUGUAGCGGUGAAAUGCGUAGAUAUCGUAAGGAAGACCAGUGGCGAAGGCGAGUUCCUGGACAGUUGCUGACACUGAGGCACGAAGGCUAGGGGAGCAAACGGG
rnacentral:rRNA from 1 species